rnacentral:tRNA from 2 species
GCCGAAGUGGCGGAAUGGCAGACGCGUUAGUUUCAGGGACUAGUGAGUGAAAACUCGUACAGGUUCGAGUCCUGCCUUCGGCA